UUAAACUUCAUAUAUAUACAACUACAUAUUAUUUUUUUAUUUAUUCUGAAAUUAACAUCAAUAUAAUAUCUAAAAAUAAUUAUAUAAAAAUAUAAUAGUAUAUAACUAACCUUUAGGUCAUUUAUUAUUAAAAAAUAUGCUAUUUAAAAACUUUGAAAUCUUAAUAGUUCAUUAAAUAUUUUAGUGAAAAUGUAAUUUUAAAUAUAAUUUUAAUUUUAAUUUUAAUUAUAAUAGAAUCUGUUAAGAAAACAUACAAAUCUCACCAGAAAUUCAAUUAUUUCUUUUAUAAAAUAAUGAAUUAGUUUCGUAACAAAAAAAAAAAAUUCAAAAGUCAUAUAAUCUUACAAACUCAGAAAUAGUUGUUUAAUUUUUCAAAUUUCUCUUGACCAAACAAUAUUUUGAAAAUAAAAAUUCUUAACUAAAAUUGGCCAUUAUUUUAUUUUUAGAUAUUUAUAAAAAAAAGAAAAAAAAACAUAAUCUAAUGAUAAACUAAUAAAUAAUGGUUGUUGGGGAAAAUCAAAGAUACUGGAAAAACUUAAGUGAAAGACUUAUAUUUGUAUUUAUAGUGCUGAUAGGCACUCAAAGAUGACAUGACUAAUUUGUUAUUCCUCCACUCCAUACAUACUAUACCACAUAACAAAUACUGAGCAAUAAAUAACAUAAAAUAUAAUAAAACUCAUAUUUAUAAUAUACUAUUAUUCAAAUAUACUAGUUUUUGAACUACUAACCAACUACUC
rnacentral:lncRNA from 1 species